CCUACGGGUGGCUGCAGUGAGGAAUAUUGGUCAAUGGACGCGAGUCUGAACCAGCCAAGUCGCGUGAAGGAUGACUGCCCUAUGGGUUGUAAACUUCUUUUAUCUGGGAAUCAACCGUUCCAUGCAUGCCCUUUCUUAUUUACCAUAUGCAUAAGGAUCGGCUAACUCCGUUCCAGCAGCCGCGGUAAUACGGUGGGGCCGAUCGUUCUCCGGAUUUAUUGGGUGUAAAGGGAGAGUAGGGGGAGUGUUAAGUCAGUUGUGAAAGUUGGCGGCUCAACCGUAAAAUUGCAGUUGAAACUGGCAGUCUUGAGUACAGUAGAGGUGGGCAGAAUUCGUGGUGUAGCGGUGAAAUGCUUAGAUAUCACGAAGAACGCCGAUUGCGAAGGCAGCUCACUGGACUGCAACUGACACUGAGGCUCGAAAGUGUGGGUAUCAAACAGGAUUAGAUACCCGAGUAGUC
rnacentral:rRNA from 1 species